rnacentral:rRNA from 1 species
GACGAACGCUGGCGGCGUGCUUAACACAUGCAAGUCGAACGGAAAGGCCCUGCUUUUGUGGGGUGCUCGAGUGGCGAACGGGUGAGUAACACGUGAGUAACCUGCCCUUGACUUUGGGAUAACUUCAGGAAACUGGGGCUAAUACCGGAUAGGAGCUCCUGCUGCAUGGUGGGGGUUGGAAAGUUUCGGCGGUUGGGGAUGGACUCGCGGCUUAUCAGCUUGUUGGUGGGGUAGUGGCUUACCAAGGCUUUGACGGGUAGCCGGCCUGAGAGGGUGACCGGCCACAUUGGGACGGAGAUACGGCCCAGACUCCGACGGGAGGCAGCAGUGGGGAAUAUUGCACAAUGGGCGGAAGCCGGAUGCAGCAACGCCGCGUGCGGGAUGACGGCCUUCGGGUGGUAAACAGCUUUCGCCGGUGACGAAGCGUGAGUGACGGUAAUGGGGAAAGAAGCACCGGCUAACUACGU